rnacentral:rRNA from 1 species
UACGAAGGGGGCUAGCGUUGCUCGGAAUUACUGGGCGUAAAGCGCACGUAGGCGGUCUUUUAAGUCGGGGGUGAAAUCCUGGAGCUCAACUCCAGAACUGCCUUCGAUACUGGAAGACUUGAGUCCGGGAGAGGGACGUGGAACUCCGGGAGUAGCGGUGAAAUGCGUAGAGACCCGGAGGAACACCAGUGGCGAAGGCGGCGUCCUGGCCUGCGACUGACGCUGUGGCGCGAAAGCUAGGGGAGCGAACGGGA